AAAGCAAGAAGGAACACCGAGAAAGGGAAGCGGAGAAGGAGAAUCCCAGGGCAUACGCUUGACACACACGCACACAAAAGGAGCUUUAGUCUCGAAAGAGGAAUUACUGAAUUGUUGAGAGAGGAAUUUUAAGAAGUUUACAACUCCGUCUUUGCCCUAGACACACGCUGACCCGGAAAGUAAUCUCCUGAAGCUAGGUCAAAGGCGGGGGUUCUACGGAUGCCGGGAGGAGGGCGCGCGCCCAUCCUGGUAGCACCGCGAGAGGCGCCGGUGUCUCGAACCGUGGCACCGGCAUCGGCUGACACUGCUGUCUCCAGCUAGUUAUUUCGUCCUCUUCCGUUCUUCACCCCUACAUCUUGGAGGUGAACUUCUCACCUGAGGGCUAUAAAGACUGGUUUGAAAAUGGAGAGCCAAGAACCAAUGCAGUCUUCUCAGAAUGGCAAACAAUAUAUUAUUUCAGAGGAGUUAAUUUCAGAAGGAAAAUGGGUCAAGCUUGAAAAAACAACGUACAUGGAUCCUACUGGUAAAACUAGAACUUGGGAAUCAGUGAAACGUACAACCAGGAAAGAACAGACUGCGGAUGGUGUCGCUGUCAUCCCCGUGCUGCAGAGAACGCUUCACUAUGAGUGUAUCAUUCUGGUGAAACAGUUCCGACCACCAAUGGGGGGCUACUGCAUAGAGUUCCCUGCAGGUCUCAUAGAUGACGGUGAAACCCCAGAAGCAGCUGCUCUCCGGGAGCUUGAGGAAGAAACUGGCUACAAAGGGGACAUUGCCGAAUGUUCUCCAGCCGUCUGUUUGGACCCAGGCUUGUCAAACUGUACCUUACACAUCGUGACAGUCACCAUUAACGGAGAUGAUGCCGAAAACGCCAGGCCGAAGCCAAAGCCAGGGGAUGGAGAAUUUGUGGAAGUCAUUUCUUUACCCAAGAAUGACCUGCUGCAGAGACUCCAUGCUCUGGUAGCUGAAGAACAUCUUACAGUGGACGCCAGGGUCUAUUCCUACGCUCUAGCGCUGAAACAUGCCAAUGCGAAGCCAUUUGAAGUGCCCUUCUUGAAAUUUUAAGGCCAAAUAUGACACGGGCCAUUUUUGUAAGCAAGACCACCAGGCCUUCUUCACUAAGACUUUGUAUUCAACUUAGUUCCAUGUAGAUUUGCCAUUAGCUUUUUCCUAAAAUAAAAGCACAGAACAGAUGUGGUGGUGGUAUGGAAUUGCAAUUACAGGUAGGUUGUGACCCUCAUUUAAAUAACUCCAGCUAAAAUUAACAAAAAAGAAAAUAAAUGCAAGUACGUUUACUCCAGUUUUUUAAAGCUCAACAGCAGUUAACUACAGCUCAAUUACUUUUCUAGUCUAGUCUGGUAGACAGGGAUAUUUGUACAGGAAAACAGACCUGAGUUCCCAAUUAGGUCAACUAUUUCCACUCUCAACCCCCACUGUAAAAUUCUAGAGCUGGGCAUGCAAAUAACCGUGUACUCCAUUGGUGUUUAAAACAGCGUUAAAAUGAAAAAAAGACUCUUCAGUCUCUUCUAAUUGAAUUUUUACUAUGCAAAAUUCAUCUAGGGUAGUUGAAUCCAACUAGGGUAGGAUUCAGUAGAAUCCGCAACUAGUUUAAGUCCACCUAUUUACUGAAGCUGAACCAGCUAAUUUUAAGUAAGGAAAAUGGUUGAUUCCAUUCACUGCACCGAGGCUAGGAGACUAAUGAAAAUUCAGGGCCAUCCCUCAAGCAUCUGCACAUACUUGAGGAUCUCUUUUUCCUAUCCUUACCUCAAAGAGUACUUGAAGUUUCUGAAAACAAAUCCAUAAGACUGAUAUGGUUUGGGGCAGUAAUAUCUUGAUGUUAAACCAUGAAUAGAACCAGCAAGAUCAGCCAGUAUGUGAAACCCAAUACAGAGUACUUCAGAGCAAGAAGUACAGAUUGAUGUGGUUCCCAUUUCAUUCCAGCCUGAAACCCUGUCAUCCAGCAGUUCUACCAGUGUUCCUGGGCCAUUUUCUUAGCCUCUUGAGUGAGUUUAGCUCUUUUUGUGUUGACUUUUAGGGCCUCCAGCAGCUCCAUGAUUUUCCAGGACUUUCCAGUCUGGCCCCCACAGAAGUCUCAGGAUGAUUCCCAUCCAGCCCUAAGUCAUGUUUCUAGCCUGGCUCCAGCGGGUAAGCCAGGCCCUAAGAACCAUAUGAAAGGGCUCUCCAGAUAAAAUCAGGGUGCUAAUGCCAGAAUGCUACAGUAUAUCCAUGUGUCCACAGGCUCACUGUCUGAGCCCAGGAUAUUUUUCUGAGUGAAACUGUUAAGAUCUUUACACUGGACUUCCUAAAGAUAAAACAAUUACGGAAAUACAGAACUUUAUAGAUGAAGCUGUCUAGCCCUAUACAUGUGAAAAUCAAGAUCCAACUACUUCCUAUAAUGGUAGCCUUCCCAUAUGCCUCUAACCCUUUUUUAAAUCCCGAUUUCAGUCACAGGCAUUGUGAUUCUUCAAAGCUCUAACUCUUCCUUAGCUCUCAAAGCCACAGGCUAUCAUUGAAAUGGAGAGAGAAGGCAUCUAUCUGUAGGUGGGCGCAGCCCAGUCUUUCCACAUAGCCCAGUUCCUCCCCAGCCACUCCCCAUGGGCAUGACCUCUGCAGCUCACCCUUAUCCGCUCCCUUCUUCCUAAGAGUGCAACUUAGAAGUGAGAGCCAAAUCCUAGGAUGUAUCCCUAAAUGCCAUUUCUAUUUUUUAUAAACAUGAAAACGUUGUGCUUUGGAAAAGGUUGUGCUUUGGAAAUUAAGUCUGUUUGAGAACUGGCAGUCUGGCUGGCACUGUUUUAAAAUGUUUAUUUGCCCUGCAUUUAAAAACUGAAGGUUUCCUAUGUAUUAAAAGCCAUAUUUCCACCUUCUUAAGGAAAAAAAAAUCGGACAUCAUAACACUGGGUCGAUGUUUUUAUGGUAACUGAGGCCCUCAGCGGAUGCUCUCCGAGCCAUUGUUAACAUCCCGCCUGCCUUUAUCUGCCUUGCCCCUGCGAUUAUUUGGCUUUGUAAGCAUAAGCUACAUAAGACAUACUACACUUAAGAAACUAAACAGCAAUGAAAACCCAUACUUCUGAAAAGGGUGUCUUUUAAAAAUUAAGUUUGAUCUUUUGGGAAAUAAAGCACAUAGUUUUCAAAAUGAUUUACCAAGAACUACGCUUUUAAAUGGAGACUGGGUUAUUGUUUUGAGAUCACUGUUUUCCUGUUUCCUCCCAAAUGUUAGUCACAUAUAUGAUUACCCGUAAGUUGGUCACUGUCCGUCAAUAAUUUAGGAUUAAAGUUUGAAGUGUAAUUACAUUUGACUUUUAUAGGCAUCUCAGGGUGGACUUCUUAUAAAUACACUGAACUUAUACAAAUGAUCUUAGAAGAUGUUUAAUAUCAGAUUUAUUUUUUUUCCAACACAACUGAAUCAGUUUUCUUAAAUAAAAUUUAUUGUCUACUGUUUA